GUGAAUCAUCAAAUUUUUGAACGCAAAUUGCACUUUCUGGUAUUCCGGAAAGUAUGCCUGUUUGAGGGUCAGUUAAAUAAAAAUCGGUGUUGUUGCUGCCUUUCGUGGUGACGCGUGGGAAUUGGGUCGUCUUUCAUUCGGUUAAGUGACUUAAGAUUUUUGCAUGAUUUUCGAAUGUAUUUAAAUCGUUUACGUAAGUUUGAGAUAUCGAAUGGUUAUUAGGUUCGGUCAUUCCCAUGAUUAGCGUCUAUCAUUUUUCAU
rnacentral:misc_RNA from 1 species